GGGAAAUGUAAUGAAUUUGGUAUUGGACAGCUGGAUUUGAAAUGUCUCUGGAAAGAAUUGUCAGAGAUAUUGUGUAGCAUUUGCAUAUAAGAAAAUGAAUAAUUUCUGAAUUCCUGUUGUAGGAGGUGAAAACGGAAAACACAAAGUGAUGGAGGCUUUCCAGCAAGCGGGUAUGGCGUGGAAGCCUGGGGCACACCAACCCAUGAGGCUAGUCAAAGGAAGUGAAGAAGGGAAGACCGCAACAAGGGCAGGAGACAGGAGUCACAAGUACAUUUCCUGGAAUCCAAGGCCUACGUUGGAAUUCCUCAGGAGGUUUAUCUCAAAGCCGUACCAACAUAGUCAAGAGGACAGUGAAAUCUGCUGAGACUGGAAAGGCAAUUGGCUGUCUCCAGAGCUCCAUGUGAUUACUAGAAUGGCCAUGUCAUUGAGGGGGAAGGAGAAAUGUGCUGCUCCUUGGAGUUCCAUAACAGAGCCAAGCUGAGGCCUCUGCUAGUUACUUGUCAUGUGAUCCUGGAGAAACGCCUUACAUUUUUUUAUGUCUCAGUUUCUUGAUCUGUGCAAUAACCGUAUGUCCCAUAUAUCCAAAAUUAAAAAAUAAUAAAAAUGCCCAUCAGAGCUUCUUAUAUCAUGGGACAACCUACACUACCCACUGUACUGGUGCUUGGGACACCCGGAGCAAAGGAACUUGGCCUUGUCUGUAUUGUUGGGCUUCUG
rnacentral:lncRNA from 1 species